rnacentral:rRNA from 1 species
AUACGGAGGGUGCGAGCGUUAAUCGGAAUUACUGGGCGUAAAGCGUACGUAGGCGGUUGGUUAAGUUAGGUGUGAAAGCCCCGGGCUUAACCUGGGAACUGCAUUUAAAACUGGCGAACUAGAGUUGAGUAGAGGGGAGUGGAAUUUCAGGUGUAGCGGUGAAAUGCGUAGAGACCUGAAGGAACACCAGUGGCGAAGGCGACUCCCUGGACUCGAAUUGACGCUGAGGUACGAAAGCGUGGGUAGCAAACGGGAUUAGAAACCCGUGUAGUCC